AAUGAACGCUGGCGGCAGGCUUAACACAUGCAAGUCGAGCGGGGGAAGGUAGCUUGCUACCGGACCUAGCGGCGGACGGGUGAGUAAUGCUUAGGAAUCUGCCUAGUAGUGGGGGACAACAUCUCGAAAGGGAUGCUAAUACCGCAUACGUCCGACGGGAGAAAGCAGGGGAUCUUCGGACCUUGCGCUAAUAGAUGAGCCUAAGUCGGAUUAGCUAGUUGGUGGGGUAAAGGCCUACCAAGGCGACGAUCUGUGGCGGGUCUGAGAGGAUGAUCCGCCACACUGGGACUGAGACACGGCCCAGACUCCUACGGGAGGCAGCAGUGGGGAAUAUUGGACAAUGGGGGGAACCCUGAUCCAGCCAUGCCGCGUGUGUGAAGAAGGCCUUAUGGUUGUAAAGCACUUUAAGCGAGGAGGAGGCUACUUUAGUUAAUACCUAGAGAUAGUGGACGUUACUCGCAGAAUAAGCACCGGCUAACUCUGUGCCAGCCGCCGCCGUAA
rnacentral:rRNA from 1 species